UCCGGUUUGGCACCGGCAGUUUCCCUAGAGUUCCCGGCAUUACCCGCUGGCAACUAAGGACAGGGGUUGCGCUCGUUGCGCCACUUAAGGCAACACCUCACGGCACGAGCUGACGACAGCCAUGCACCACCUGUGCGGGCUCCGAAGAGCGCCGUGUUUCCACGGUUCCACCCCGCAUGUCAAGCCCAGGUAAGGUGGGGAUGACGUAGCUAAGCCUUC
rnacentral:misc_RNA from 1 species